AAAGGGAACCUAGACACAGGUGCUGCAUGGCUGUCGUCAGCUCGUGUCGUGAGAUGUUGGGUUAAGUCCCGCAACGAGCGCAACCCUUGCCAUUAGUUGCUACAUUCAGUUGAGCACUCUAAUGGGACUGCCGGUGACAAACCGGAGGAAGGUGGGGAUGACGUCAAGUCCUCAUGGCCCUUAUGGGUAGGGCUACACACGUCAUACAAUGGCGCGUACAGAGGGUUGCCAACCCGCGAGGGGGAGCCAAUCCCAGAAAGCGCGUCGUAGUCCGGAUUGAAGUCUGCAACUCGACUUCAUGAAGUCGGAAUCGCUAGUAAUCGCGGAUCAGCAUGUCGCGGUGAAUACGUUCCCGGGCCUUGUACACACCGCCCGUCACACCAUGGGAGUGGGGUUCACCAGAAGCAGGUUGCCUAACCGCAAGGAGGGCGCCUACCACGGUGAGC
rnacentral:rRNA from 1 species